GGCUCUGUGGCGCAACGGAUAGCGCAUUGGACUUCUAAUUCAAAGGUUGUGGGUUCGAGUCCCACCAGAGUCG